UUUUGCACACAAAACUGCCAGUGGAUGUUGAAGAAGUACUUCAGAACCUACUCCAUCGUGAUCACCAAACUUCCCAUAUAAUUUGUUUAACUUU